AAAUAAUUUUUAUCUCUU
rnacentral:tRNA from 1 species